AGUGAACGCUGGCGGUAGGCCUAACACAUGCAAGUCGAACGGCAGCACCGUAAGAGCUUGCUCUUACGGGUGGCGCGUGGCGGACGGGUGAGGAAUACAUCGGAAUCUACUUUUUCGUGGGGGAUAACGUAGGGAAACUUACGCUAAUACCGCAUACGACCUACGUGUGAAAGCAGGGGAUCUUCUGACCUUGUGCGAUUGAAUGAGCCGAUGUCGGAUUAGCUAGUUGGCGGGGUAAAGGCCCACCAAGGCGACGAUCCGUAGCUGGUCUGAGAGGAUGAUCAGCCACACUGGAACUGAGACACGGUCCAGACUCCUACGGGAGGCAGCAGUGGGGAAUAUUGGACAAUGGGCGCAAGCCUGAUCCAGCCAUACCGCGUGGGUGAAGAAGGCCUUCGGGUUGUAAAGCCCUUUUGUUGGGAAAGAAAAGCAGCAGGUUAAUACCCCGCUGUUCUGACGGUACCCAAAGAAUAAGCACCGGCUAACUUCGUG
rnacentral:rRNA from 1 species